GACGAACGCUGGCGGCACGCCUAACACAUGCAAGUCGAACGGAGAAAAUAGCUUCGGUUGUUUUCUUAGUGGCGGACGGGUGAGUAACACGUGAGGAACCUGCCUUUGAGAGUGGGAUAGCUUCUGGAAACGGAUGGUAAUACCGCAUAACAUAGCGAAACCGCAUGAUUUUGCUAUCAAAGUAUUUCGCUCAGAGAUGGCCUCGCGUCUGAUUAGAUAGUUGGUGAGGUAACGGCUCACCAAGUCGACGAUCAGUAGCCGGACUGAGAGGUUGAACGGCCACAUUGGGACUGAGACACGGCCCAGACUCCUACGGGAGGCAGCAGUGGGGGAUAUUGCACAAUGGGGGAAACCCUGAUGCAGCGAUGCCGCGUGGAGGAAGAAGGUUUUCGGAUUGUAAACUCCUGUCGUAAGGGAAGAGAAAGGA
rnacentral:rRNA from 1 species